rnacentral:rRNA from 1 species
GAUGAACGCUGGCGGCGUGCCUAAUACAUGCAAGUCGAGCGAACGGACGAGAAGCUUGCUUCUCUGAUGUUAGCGGCGGACGGGUGAGUAACACGUGGAUAACCUACCUAUAAGACUGGGAUAACUUCGGGAAACCGGAGCUAAUACCGGAUAAUAUUUUGAACCGCAUGGUUCAAAAGUGAAAGACGGUCUUGCUGUCACUUAUAGAUGGAUCCGCGCUGCAUUAGCUAGUUGGUAAGGUAACGGCUUACCAAGGCAACGAUGCAUAGCCGACCUGAGAGGGUGAUCGGCCCCACUGGAACUGAGCCACGGUCCAGACUCCUACGGGAGGCAGCAGUAGGGAAUCUUCCGCAAUGGGCGAAAGCCUGCCGGAGCAACGCCGCGUGAGUGAUGAAGGUCUUCGGAUCGUAAAACUCUGUUAUUAGGGAAGAACAUAUGUGUAAGUAACUGUGCACAUCUUGACGGUACCUAAUCAGAAAGCCACGGCUAACUACGU